UGAUAGUAGAGGUCGCGUUAUUCAAUAGUACCCGAUAUGAUGUUCCAGAGACAGAUGAAUAUCGGUGAAAGGGGAUGACGCCGAAGUGAAGAGUGUCUGGAAGCUCCUUGCUGGGCGUGAAGUCAACAGCUUCACGACUGUCAUCUUAUUAAGAUGGAGGGCUACUUAA
rnacentral:ncRNA from 1 species